AGCUUUGCGCAGUGGCAGUAUCGUAACCAAUGAGGUUCAUCCGAGGUGCGAUUAUUGCUAGUUGAAAACUUUUCCCAACGCUCUGCCCAAGGAUUUGAAAUAUAGUUUGGCACAAGGCAAUUUUAGUUAGCCCAGCUUUGGG